rnacentral:rRNA from 1 species
GCGAGCGUUAAUCGGAAUUACUGGGCGUAAAGCGCACGUAGGUGGCGACGUAAGUCGGGUGUGAAAGCCCCGGGCUCAACCUGGGAAUUGCAUUCGAGACUGCAUUGCUGGAGUACGGAAGAGGAAGGCGGAAUUCCCGGUGUAGCGGUGAAAUGCGUAGAUAUCGGGAGGAACAUCAGUGGCGAAGGCGGCCUUCUGGUCCAGUACUGACACUCAAGUGCGAAAGCGUGGGGAGCAAACAGG